rnacentral:tRNA from 1 species
GGGGCUGUAGCUCAGUGGUAGAGCACUUGCCUAGUACAUGUGAGGUACUAGGUUCAAUCCUCAGCACCA